UGGAAUAUUUUUCACAGACGCCAUUUUCUUAGACUCGCGAUGCGGAGCAUAUGAGGAUGGAAAACAGCGAAAUUAAGUGUUUAAUCUUACUCACAAUAUGUGUUUUGUAAUAUCAUAUCGUUUUAUAGCGACAUUUACGAGGUGUGUGCGCCUAAACUUUUUUUAAAGACAUUUCUUCCACUCGCGAGGCGGACCAGACAAGGACGUUUCUUUUUAAAAGGGAAACGCCGAAAGUUAAGUGUUUUAUCUCAUUUAAGUUAUAUGCAUUUCACAACAUCAUAUUGAUUUAUAGCGAUAUUUGUGUGAUGUGUACACAAACUUUUUCUCAGAGAGAUAUUUUUCUUCACUCAUGAUGCGGAGAAGACGGGCAAAUUGGUUUUAUCAUGGAAAAAACCGAAAAUGCAUUUGAAUGGCUAUGCAUUGCCGCGGAAGUCGCUUUUAACAGGGGAAACAUAAGAAAGAGACAUUUUCUUUCACUGGAGAUGCGGAGCAGACGGGGAAGUUGGUCUUCUCGAGGAAAACACUGAAUGGUUCAUGCUGGUUUAACAGAAAAAUCGAAAGGAGAUGAUGUGCUUGAAGAGUAUGAAGCCACCAAUACAUUAAGUGGGUUGAGAAGAGCUUUGUUAGGACACAUACCAGAGACAUGGGAGCACUUUUGUGAUGCUGCAAGUGGGAGUUGGGUAUCUUGCUUGGCUGAAAACUGCAGAGAAACACAUCUCGUCUUGCUGAAAACUACUCUUUACAAGGAGGUCCAAACACCAUUAGCAGAGACUUUGUUCAGUGAGCAUUAACAUGCAUUCUGCCUGGAUGCUAAUGAAUGGGAUGCUGUUGUCUAAACUGAUAAAUGUAAGCGUUAUAAACCUCAUGACAUUAAGUGUACAUAUGGACCAAAUAAGAAUAUGUAUUUUCACUGAUUUGCU